AGUGAACGCUGGCGGUAGGCCUAACACAUGCAGGUCGAACGGCAGCACAGUAAGAGCUUGCUCUUACGGGUGGCGAGUGGCGGACGGGUGAGGAAUACAUCGGAAUCUACUUUUUCGUGGGGGAUAACGUAGGGAAACUUACGCUAAUACCGCAUACGACCUACGGGUGAAAGCAGGGGAUCUUCGGACCUUGCGCGAUUGAAUGAGCCGAUGUCGGAUUAGCUAGUUGGCGGGGUAAAGGCCCACCAAGGCGACGAUCCGUAGCUGGUCUGAGAGGAUGAUCAGCCACACUGGAACUGAGACACGGUCCAGACUCCUACGGGAGGCAGCAGUGGGGAAUAUUGGACAAUGGGCGCAAGCCUGAUCCAGCCAUACCGCGUGGGUGAAGAAGGCCUUCGGGUUGUAAAGCCCUUUUGUUGGGAAAGAAAAGCAGCAGGUUAAUACCCCGCUGUUCUGACGGUCCCCAAAGAAUAAGCACCGGCUAACUUCGUG
rnacentral:rRNA from 1 species